AAUCCGCAUGUUUCUUUGGAGUGUUUUAUUUUUCUGUAGAUUUCAGAAGCACACGUUUGAUUUUUAAGGUUUUGUUUUGUACUAGAAGCGAUUUUCACAUGGACAUGUUUUUUUGUACGUGCGGUUUUACAUGUUAUGUUUGGAUGAGGUUUGCCAAAUUUACAUUGUUUUGACUUUUGAGUUGAGUGUUCAUCUUGUGUUGUGAGUCUUUUCCUCACUAAAUUGCUUG
rnacentral:lncRNA from 1 species